rnacentral:rRNA from 1 species
AUAAAAUUUUUACUGGGCUAACGUCGAACGGAGAUCAGCCCAUAACCGAAAUCUAUUUUUAUUUGUGGACAGGACAAUGUGGUGUUUAGGCGUGUACCUGGGAGCGCUUGCCUACCCGAAGUCCACCUCUGAUUCUGGCUUGGACAUUGCCCAUAGCGGGUGAAAGGCCCGUGCGGGUAGGCUUUGAAUGCAAUAAGCGAUCCUCAGAUGUGCAUGCUUUCGAGUCGGAUUGCUUGAGAAUGCAGUCCAAAGUGGGUGGUAAACUCCAUCCAAGGCUAAAUACUGGCACGAGUCCGAUAGUAGACAAGUACCGUGAGGGAAAGUUGAAAAGUACUCUGAAGAGAUCGUGGAGUAGCC